GUAAACUCUCGCUUGUCAACUCUCGUGCAACUCUUGUUCUCGUUUGAUCAAGCAAUGAAAGUUGAGAAAACUCUCAUGUAAACUUUCGCUUGUCAACUCUCAUGCAACUCUUGUUCUUGUUUGAUCAAGCAAUGAAUGUUGAGAAACUCUCAUGUAAACUCUCGCUUCUCAACUCUCGUGCAACUCCUGUUCUCGUUUGAUCAAGCAAUGAAUGUUGAGACAACUCUCAUGUAAACUCUCGCUUGUCAAUUUUCAUGCA